CAGGCUUCAGCAGGCUGUGGCACGUGGGCUCGGCAGUUUUGGUUCCCGGCCUUUAGAGCACAGGUUCAGUAGCUAAUAGCACACGAACUUAGUACUCUGUGGCAUGUGGGAUCUUUCUGGAUCAUGGAUUGAAUCCGUAUCUUCUGCCUUGGCAGGUGGACUCUUUACCACUAAGCCACCAGGGAAGCCUGAAAGUUUUUGAUGAAUAUUUUACAGAAAACUAGCUAAUUACAAUUUUUAAUUCCAUUCCUAUAAGAAUGAGUAUGAAUACCAAAAACAGUUCAUUAAGCUAGUAAAAUACUAGUAGCAGUUAGAAUACUAUUAACUAUAUUAAUUAUCAAGUAAAAUAUUAUGACAAUGACCCUACCAAUACAAUAUGAAAGGCAAAACAAUGUAAUGAUGAAGUAAACAGACUCUGGAACCAAGACUCCUUGGGCUCAAAUCUCUGUAUAUGACUUAUUAGCUAUGGGACCCCAGUUUGCCUGCCUUGAGUUUAGUCUCCUCUUCUCUGAAAUGGGUAAAUAGUGACACUUCCUUUGCAGUUGUCCGACCGAGUGAACACACAUGUACAUACAAGCUCACAUAUAUCCACACGCACACACACAUAUAUACACAGGCAUGUGUCACUAAAUAAUGGUGCCUGGCAUGCUGGAACUCAAAUUCCAUCUCUCUCCUGUAACCCACACAUAGCAAAGUGAGCUUAAAACCCAGAUUUCACCUUGUUGCUACCCCCGCACUCGAGUCUCAAUGGUUUCCCCUGUCUCCAAGGUCAAGUGCAAAACCCUUAGUGAGUCUCUAACAACCCAAUUCCCACCCAUUUGCACUCUGAUCCGCACACUGAAAAAUCUAUUGCUGCUGCAACCACUGUAGCAGCUACAGUGGGCCACCCUCUCAUCUCAGGGCCUUUCCCCAUGGUCCCCUCUCUCCUUUGGUCACACCCUCCCCUAACUGCUCAUCACAUUCAGGGGAAUAUCAAAAUCCUCAGAUGGUCCAUGGUCUGGAGCCCACUAAUUCAAAUUUAGGAUUGAUACCUAGAUUGCCUCAAACUUUAGAUAUGAUAUAUGUAUUCACAUGAGAAAACAUGCUCACCCCCUAAUUACUUGUCUGCCAGUCUUUAGGACAAUCAAGGUGAAAGCAGUUGUUAUGAUGGCAUUAUAUCCACUCAAGAGGAAAACCUGUGAAUCCUGAGUCUAGAUAUCACACACAGACAAGGGACUCCAAGAGGGAUUUGCUAAGGAACAGAAUGAACAGUCAUCCAGAGCAACGUGACCAAUCCACCAGGCAACAUUCCUGCAACCACUAAGACUUGCUAGCCCCCAAAACAGGAUGGAGAAGAUGUGGCAGUGGCCAAGAUAGAGUUAAUCUAAGUAUAAAAUCUCAACAGAAGACUGCUCCUUCCCAAUAGCAACCUAAACAGAACCUUGGUCCACUUAUUUUAUUCUUUCCCUUCCUGACUGGGAUAUAUUCACAUGUUAGCUCACAGGUUUGAAAAAGCAUGUAUUUAUAUUUCUUUACACGCACAAUUUCACAUCCAGCUACAGUCUCGAAUAUCAAACUUUACUCAUUGAAAUGAAUAUCUCUAAUGUCGAGAGUAGGGAGUAAGAACCAGUAAUCUAAAGGAAGCAUUCUGCAAUGAAAUUGCUUUUAGGAAAUCUGGCAGAUGGCACUUUUUCAUUAUAGAGAAAGUUUUCCUAGGGGAAAACACAUCAAAUUACUUAAAAAAAAAAAAGUUAAGUGGUCACACAGAAUGAGCAGUGCAUCUCUGUCCUGGCCUCCAACACGCCUGCAAAGCCAAGCAGGCCAGCCGUGAACAUUUGCAUACGUUAAAAAUCGCCAACUGCAUCAUGCCUGCAUUGGGCCAGUGAAGACUCAUAUAAUCAAGCAACUAAAGAAGGUACCACCAUCAAACGUAUUUACAUAUCAAUGGAGAUCUGCCUUAGACAGUAGUGUGACUUUAUCUUUUGAUACAGAAAUGAUCUUUUAGCCAGCAGCCCUGAGACCUAGAUGACAAACGAGUCAAUGCCCGACACCUCUCAAUGUCCCCAUUUCUUUCUGGCUAUGCCUGCCUACUCAGUCCAUUACCACAGAAGAAUGGAAAAGAAAGAAAACUUUGAAGGGGACCCACUUUAACUCUCUCAUUAUUAAAAAAAGAAUAGUAAUAAAGCAAACAUCUGAUUAGGUUCAGUGACACACAUCUCAAGUAAAGUUAGUUCAGUGAGGACUGAUGCUCAGACCACUGCGGUUCUAAGCCUUUUCUCUUCGUACCAUAUGAUGUACCAUGUGA